GGGAAUGAGGUCCCGGUGUGGGAUGAAGAGCCUAUAUCCAUAUUGUUUUUCCAGCACAUCAGGUAAGAUCUCCAGGGCAAACUGCUCCUCCUCGCUCAUCUCGCGCUCCACUGAUUCUAAGUCCACUUUGGUGUAAGAGAGUCCCAUGCAAAGCAUGCUGAGAUGUACAAGUCCACUGCCUAAAUGGCACUUCCACUACCACGGCCGAUGUGAUUCUCCACAUUACAAGUGUAGUUCCCCAUGUCUGUCUCCUCCACAGCAUCAAAGAUCAGCGAUAGCAACACCUCCUUCUCCCCCAGAAACUCUCUGAGCACCCUGAAGAAACACAAACAGAUCCCUUAUGAAUUCCACAUUAACUCUCUGCUGAACAUAUCAGCUGUACAUGAACAGAAUACAGUAUAUCAGUGGUUCUCAACUCCAGUCCUCGGGACCCACUGCUCUGCAUAUUGUGCAUGUCUCCCUUAUUUAACACACCUGAUUCAGAUCAUCAGCUCGUUAGGAUAGAUUCUGAGUAGAACUGAGUGUGUCAGAUAUGAAAGACAUCCAAAAUGUGCAGAGCAGCGGGUCCCGAGGACUGGAGUUGAGAACCACUGCAGUAUAUGUUUAAAGCAGUAACCUCUUUUUCUGUUCUGCUUAAAACUUCAAAACAUGUACUCAGCUAGAAGUAACUUUGACUUCAAUAUCCCUACUGUUACUGCCUAAGAAUGGAUCUACAGUAUAUACGCCUUCGCUGGUUUUGUAAAAGACUGUUACUCUGUAAGGGGAACAUCCCAAUUGGAGAGUCAGUUAAAACACCAUGAAGCUGAAGCAUUAUCCAUUUCUUAUCCAAUCCAACUUUUUAUUUCACCAAUGCCAGUACAUGGUGCAGCAGUGGUUGUUUAACUCAAAUGCAAACAAUAAUAAACAAACGAGAUACAUCAA